UACGUAGGUGGCGAGCGUUGUCCGGAUUUACUGGGCGUAAAGGGAGCGUAGGCGGACUUUUAAGUGAGAUGUGAAAUACCCGAGCUCAACUUGGGUGCUGCAUUUCAAACUGGAAGUCUAGAGUGCAGGAGAGGAGAAUGGAAUUCCUAGUGUAGCGGUGAAAUGCGUAGAGAUUAGGAAGAACACCAGUGGCGAAGGCGACUUACUGGACCGUAACUGACGUUGAGGCUCGAAAGCGUGGGGAGCAAACAGGAUUAGAUACCCCCGUAGUCCCUGA
rnacentral:rRNA from 1 species